rnacentral:rRNA from 1 species
GUCGAACGCUGGCGGCGUGCCUAAUACAUGCAAGUAGGACGCAGUUGCGAACGGGUGAGUAACGUGUAUGCAACUGCCUAUUACAGGGGGAUAACCACUGGAAACGAUAGCUAAUACCGCCUACUAGUAGAUGGACCUGCGUUGUAUUAGCCAGUAGGUAGGGUAAUGGCCUACCUAGGCGGAGAUACAUAGCCGGCCUGGGAAGGUGGUCAGCCACACUGGGGCUGAGACACGGCCCAGACUCCUGCGGGAAGCAGCAGGAGGGGAUUUGCGGCAAUUGGGGGAACCCUGGCCGAACAACGGCGCGUGGGUGAAGAAAGUUUUCGGGUCGUAAAGCUCUGUUGUUAAGGAAGCGGUACUUAACCAGAAAGGAACGGCUAACUACGUGCCAGCAGCCGCGGUAAUUC